GUCCACGCUGUAAACGAUGAGUACUAGGUGUCGGGGGUAUCGACCCCUCGGUGCCGCAGCUAACGCGAUAAGUACUCCGCCUGGGGACGUACGGCCGGCAAGGCUAAAACUACAAAGGAAUUGACGGGGGCCCCGGCACAAGCAGCGGAGCGUGUGGUUUAAUUCGACGCAACGCGAAGAACCUUACCUGGGCUUGACAUGCGUGUGGUACGAGUGGGAAACCAUGAGGACCCGCAAGGGAGCACGCACAGAUGCUGCAUGGCUGUCGU
rnacentral:rRNA from 1 species